GACAGAGGGGGCAAGCGUUGCUCGGAAUUACUGGGCGUAAAGGGCGCGUAGGCGGGAUGGCAAGUCGGUCGUGAAAGCCUUCGGCUCAACCGAAGAAUGUCGGCCGAUACUGCCGUUCUUGAGGGAUGCAGAGGAGACUGGAAUUCCCGGUGUAGCGGUGAAAUGUGUAGAGAUCGGGAGGAACACCGGUGGCGAAGGCGGGUCUCUGGGCAUCUCCUGACGCUGAGGCGCGAAAGCGUGGGGAGCAAACGGG
rnacentral:rRNA from 1 species